rnacentral:rRNA from 1 species
UACAGGGGGGGCAAGCGUUGUUCGGAAUUACUGGGCGUAAAGCGUGCGCAGGCGGCGCGUUAAGACAGGUGUGAAAGCCCCGAGCUUAACUUGGGAAUUGCGCUUGUGACUGGCGUGCUGGAGUGUGGCAGAGGGAGGUGGAAUUCCACGUGUAGCAGUGAAAUGCGUAGAGAUGUGGAGGAACACCGAUGGCGAAGGCAGCCUCCUGGGCCUUACCUGACGCUGAGACGCGAAAGCGUGGGGAGCGAACCGG